rfam:Bombyx mori DNA, contig: Bm_scaf15_contig11401, strain: p50T/Dazao, build 2, whole genome shotgun sequence.
UUCUAGGCUUUUUUUAAAGCCAUAAAAUAUUUUUAAAUAAAAAUAGU